GCGUGGAUGAAGAAGGCCCUAGGGUUGUAAAAUCCUUUCGCCAGGGAAGAUAAUGACGGUACCUGGAAAAGAAGCCCCGGCUAAUUUCGUGCCAGCAGCCGCGGUAAUACGAAAGGGGCUAGCGUUGUUCGGAAUUACUGGGCGUAAAGCGCACGUAGGCGGCCAUGUAAGUUGGGGGUGAAAUCCCGGGGCUCAACUCCGGAACUGCCUUCAAAACUACAUGGCUCGAGGAUGCGAGAGGUUGGCGGAAUUCCGAGUGUAGAGGUGAAAUUCGU
rnacentral:rRNA from 1 species